UUUAUCGCUGACAGUAAGUAAGUGAGAGCGCUCAAGGAUGAACUACACACUGUCAGGUAAAGACAUGCACGGUAAGAGGAUAGCCUGACAGUUCAUUGACAGUGGUUAAAAAUAUUACCAUCAUCAAACCAUGUGGCUCUACAACUUUUCAAGCAGAUUAAGUAAGUCGCUAGUAAUUUAUUUAAGUUUUGUUACUCUCUUGGAAGCCCAUCCUCAGUGUUUAGAUUUUCGACCACCCUUCAAUCCCGAGACUCCGUUGCACUUCUGUACGGAAUAUUCCACCUUCGGAUGCUGCACCAGUCAGGAUGAUUUAGACAUCCAGGAUGAAUAUAAUAGUAUAAUACGACAGUUAUCAAAUGCUGAUAUGUUUGUUUGUGAAAGAUACGUCCGGGAACUUGUCUGUCAGAGAUGCUCUCCAUAUGCGGCUCAUAUCUACGAUGCUGAGGGAACGCUGAUGUCCAGACCCUUCCCAGGACUUUGCAAUAACUACUGUCGAGAUUUCUAUAGAAAUUGUAGACAGAUUGUUGGUUACUUAACUCGAGAUUCCAGUAUUCAACAACAUGUAAGCUAUGGGACCUCAGCAUUCUGUGAAUACGUAAGACUAAGUGAUGAAGAUUAUUGUUACCCAGACUUGAAAACAAAUCCAUUGUUGAACAAUAGAAUUUCCAUCAAGCAAUAUACCUCAGAAGGGUGUUUGUGCAUGGAACCUUUUGCUGAUUUAUUGUAUAAUCCUGUCUUUGCUCGUCAUGCAGGGGAUGGCAGUAAUCGAUUAUUCAUCGGAGAAGUUACAGGAUUAAUAUUUGUGUAUUAUUUAAAUGGUUCUAGUGAGAGUCACCCAUUCUUGGACAUCAGUUACCAAACAGUUAACACAAAAAAUGAAGGUGAUGAGAGGGGUUUACUGGGACUUGCUUUCCAUCCAAAUUUUCAUCAAAAUGGCAGAUUUUUUGUGUAUUAUUCAACUCCCCUUGAGCAGCAUAAUGAUUUCAGGAAUAACAACCACAAGAUUCGAAUCAGUGAGUUUCUAGUGUCAAAUCAGAAUCCCAACAUAGCAGAUGCUCGGAGUGAGAGGGUGAUUUUAGAAGUUCAGGAACCCUUUUGGAACCACAAUGGAGGCGAGAUUUUAUUUGGGGAUGAUGGAUAUUUGUACGUCUUUAUUGGAGAUGGUGGCUCUGGUGGAGAUCCCCAGGGAAAUGGCCAAAAUACAAGCACCCUCCUGGGUAAAGUUUUGCGGAUAGAUGUGGAUACAGAAUUAGACUACCCAUAUCCGUACAAGAUUCCUCAGGAUAAUCCAUUUGUCAAUGACUCAAUGUUCCUUCCUGAAAUUUAUGCCUAUGGAAUUAGAAACAUCUGGAGAUGUGGGAAAGACAGAGGUGACCAUGUUACAGGGGAAGGUAAGGGAAGAAUAGUAUGUGGAGAUGUUGGCCAGUCUGCCUAUGAAGAACUAGAUCUGCUGAUCAAGGGAGGAAACUAUGGCUGGAAUGGCAGAGAGGGCCCAGCAUGUUAUAAAACAGAAAUCUGUGGCCAUAUUGGUCCAGAAGUUCCCCCUAUCCACUACUACCCACACAAGGAGGGAAAGUCUGUCACAGGUGGCCAUUUCUACAGAGGCUGCCUUAGUCCUAAUCUCAAUGGAUUCUACAUCUAUGGUGAUUUCAUGAACGGCCGAUUGUUCAGACUUCUCUAUAAUCCUCAGAGAAACACAUGGGACAACAAAGAAUUGAAUAUGUGUGGACCUGAGAUGUGUACCCCGCCCCUGAUUAAUUACUAUGAGCCUCAUAUCCUAUCAUUUGGAGAAGAUGAAGGUGGUGAAUUGUAUUUGCUGUCUACAGGACGAGCAAGCUCUGCAGAUUCUAGUGGAAAAGUCUACAGAAUCUUGGACCCAGCGAGGAGAGGUAACCCUGUGACCUGUGCUAUGGCAAGACAGGAUCGUCCCCUCCCAACACUGCCUACAGUAACUCCUCCCAUCACCAGACCGCCAACAAUAGUGCCUCCCACCACCGUCACUCAAAGAAGAAACAGAGUCACAAGCACUGCUGCAACCAUGACAACCACAUCUAAUGGCAGAGUUGCUUCUGAAGUAAUAGGCAGAUUUAGUUUGCUGAUCAAGAAAAUUAAAGACUUCCUGUUCCUCACAUUUUACAAUCAAGGGAGUUAUGAGAUUGAUCACUGUUCGUUAUCUUCACCUUCAUCUGGUACAAACUGUGGAAUUUGGUACAACUUUGCCACCAGCUAAAUUGUUGCCUAGCAACAAGGAAACGCCUUGAACAGGAAGAGUAGGUCGAACACCUACGAUCGAUAACUGGUCCAGUACUUAAGUCUGAUUUCAGAUAAAUUCCAGGUAGGGGACAUCAACGAUGCGAAGCUUCACACCCUGUAAUAAAUCUGACCCACCAGCAGAAUUCUGCACAGACUAGGACAACACAUUCUCCGACAACAAAAUAUGGGCAGCACCAGUAUCUUCAAAGAACUUCACUAGAGCCAUUGAGUGAAACAAAACCUUGAGACAUAAAGGGCUUCUAAUCCUCCAUAGAAUCAAAAGAACUAGACUUUAAACCAUGAACACCAGGAGUGCGAGAACAAAACGAAACCAAGGCUUUCUUAUCAUUUCUAAAUGCUGUACAAGCGUGUGAUUAUGGUAAGAAAAAGAGAAAAUCGAAAAAGCGGCGGAGGAGAAAGAAGAAAAACCGAAA